rnacentral:rRNA from 1 species
ACACCGGCAGCUCAAGUGGUAGCCGCUUUUAUUGGGCCUAAAGCGUCCGUAGCCGGUCUGAUAAGUCUCUGGUGAAAUCCCACAGCUUAACUGUGGGAAUUGCUGGAGAUACUAUCAUGACUCGAGGUCGGGAGAGGCUGGAGGUACUCCCAGGGUAGGGGUGAAAUCCUGUAAUCCUGGGAGGACCACCUGUGGCGAAGGCGUCCAGCUGGAACGAACCUGACGGUGAGGGACGAAAGCCAGGGGCGC